CGGGGCCGGCUGGAGGAACGGGCCGAGGCGCUCGGAGGGCGCCCCUGGCGUGUGUUCGACGCCUACGACCUCGACC
rnacentral:tRNA from 2 species